UACGUAGGAGGCAAGCGUUGUCCGGAAUCAUUGGGCGUAAAGAGCGUGUAGGCGGCCUGGUAAGUCCGCUGUGAAAGUCCAGGGCUCAACCCUGGAAUGCCGGUGGAAACUGUCAGGCUCGAGUCCGGAAGAGGCGAGUGGAAUUCCCGGUGUAGCGGUGAAAUGCGCAGAUAUCGGGAGGAACACCUAUGGCGAAGGCAGCUCGCUGGGACGUUACUGACGCUGAGACGCGAAAGCGUGGGGAGCAAACAGG
rnacentral:rRNA from 1 species